GCAGCCGUGGCUGACUAGUUACGGUGUUCGUUAUGCGAAUGGUCCUGGGUUCGAUUCCCAUCGGCUCCC
rnacentral:tRNA from 1 species